rnacentral:rRNA from 1 species
AGGGAAUCUUCCACAAUGGGCGAAAGCCUGAUGGAGCAACGCCGCGUGAGUGAUGAAGGUUUUCGGAUCGUAAAACUCUGUUGUUAGGGAAGAACACCCGAGAGAGGAUCUCGGACUGACGGUACCUAACGAGAAAGCCCCGGCUAACUACGUGCCAGCAGCCGCGGUCAUACGUAGGUGGCAAGCGUUGUCCGGAUUUACUGGGCGUAAAGGAUGCGUAGGCGGAUACUUAAGUCAGAUGUGAAAAUCCCGGGCUUAACUUGGGAACUGCAUUUGAAACUGGGUAUCUUGAGUGCGGGAGAGGAAAGUGGAAUUCCUAGUGUAGCGGUGAAAUGCGUAGAGAUUAGGAAGAACACCAGUGGCGAAGGCGACUUUCUGGACCGUAACUGACGCUGAGGCAUGAAAGCGUGGGGAGCAAACA